ACUCCUACGGGAGGCAGCAGUGGGGAAUUUUGGACAAUGGGGGAAACCCUGAUCCAGCCAUCCCGCGUGUGCGAUGAAGGCCUUCGGGUUGUAAAGCACUUUUGGUCAGGAAAGAAACUGUCAUUG
rnacentral:rRNA from 1 species